rnacentral:rRNA from 1 species
UACGAAGGGUGCAAGCGUUACUCGGAAUUACUGGGCGUAAAGCGUGCGUAGGUGGUUGUUUAAGUCUGUUGUGAAAGCCCUGGGCUCAACCUGGGAACUGCAGUGGAAACUGGACAACUAGAGUGUGGUAGAGGGUAGCGGGAUUCCCGGUGUAGCAGUGAAAUGCGUAGAGAUCGGGAGGAACAUCCAUGGCGAAGGCAGCUACCUGGACCAACACUGACACUGAGGCACGAAAGCGUGGGGAGCAAACAGG